rfam:Camelus ferus unplaced genomic scaffold scaffold693, whole genome shotgun sequence.
GAGGAUAUAGCUCAGUGGUAGAGCGCGUGCUUAGCAUGCACAAGGUCCUAUGUUCAAUCCCUAGGACCUCCA